rnacentral:rRNA from 1 species
AACUCCCAACCCCUGUGACAUACCACUUGUUGCCUCGGCGGAUCAGCCCGCUCCCGGUAAAACGGGACGGCCCGCCAGAGGACCCCUAAACUCUGUUUCUAUAUGUAACUUCUGAGUAAAACCAUAAAUAAAUCAAAACUUUCAACAACGGAUCUCUUGGUUCUGGCAUCGAUGAAGAACGCAGCAAAAUGCGAUAAGUAAUGUGAAUUGCAGAAUUCAGUGAAUCAUCGAAUCUUUGAACGCACAUUGCGCCCGCCAGUAUUCUGGCGGGCAUGCCUGUUCGAGCGUCAUUUCAACCCUCAAGCACAGCUUGGUGUUGGGACUCGCGUUAAUUCGCGUUCCUCAAAUUGAUUGGCGGUCACGUCGAGCUUCCAUAGCGUAGUAGUAAAACCCUCGUUACUGGUAAUCGUCGCGGCCACGCCGUUAAACCCCAACUUCUGAAUGUUGACCUCGGAUCAGGUAGGAAUACCCGCUGAACUUAAACCAUAUCAAAUAAGCGGAGGAA